UAUUAUUAUUAUUAUUAUUGUGAGUUUGUGAGAAUUACAUAAUAUUAAGAACUGUGGAAGCUGUGAAACUCUACACACACACACACACACACACACACACACACACACACACACACAUUUGAUAAGGCUUUCAUAGAGGUCCUGUUAGUAUUAGUAUUAAAAUAUAUAUAUGUAGAUAUGUAUUGGUGUGUACAAAUGUAUCAAUAUAUAGCACUUAUGUUGGCGUAAUUAUAAAUAUUCAUAAAAUUAGAUAUAUAUACUUUUGAAUGACACACACACACACACACACACACACACACACACACACACACAUCAAAUAUAUGUUAAGAAUUUAUGUAUAAAACUAUAAAACGAUAACAGAAUAAGAAAUAAUAAUCGACAUUUUCGAAUAUACAAUUUUUCACGUUCUCUCAAAUAUAUAUGUACGCGAUUUUACCAACUAAUUUAUCUAUCACGGUAUUAAUUCAUUAACUUAGAUAUAUUUUUUACUACCCAGGGACCGUCCGAGCUGGAGCAAAGCCUAAUGGAGGGAUCUCAUUCAGUGUCCUAAUAACAGAGAUACAAUUUUACUCUCUACUCAUGUAUGUGAAUUUAUGACUCCAUAUAAAAUUACCAUUAUUGUUAUUAUUACCGAAAAAAUCGUUACUAAUUUAUAACUAGAAUUUUAUCAUAAUGACCAAAAAAAGUCCAGAAAUAUAAUAAUUACAGAUUUUUACCUAAUUUAUAACUAGAAUUUUAUCAUGACCAAAAAAAGUCUAGAAAUAUAUUAGUUACAGAUUUUUACCUAAUUUAUAACUAGAAUUUUAUCAUAAUGACCAAAAAAUGUCUAGAAAUAUAUUAGUUACAGAUUUCUUACCUGUGUGGAAAUACAAUUACCGAAACUGUCUAGAAAUAUACCACAGGGCCAUACCCAGAGCUGCAUAAGGGGGGCAAGGUGUCUUUUUCUAGUAAAUGUGGACCUUGUGGCCGCCUGAAGAGGGGCAGAGGUGAGGGAAGUGAGCCCGGCCAGCUGAGGGUGUUUGGGACUUUCAUAAUUGGACUUUACUGGGAACAAUUUUCUGCUGUCAAAACAAAAAAUAAUGGGUGCAGGAGAGGAAAUGGAAGGGUUGGGCUGGGUAAGGUUAGGUAAGGCAAGGUAAGGCAAGGUUAGGUAAGGUAAGGCAAGGGAAGGUAAGACAAGGUAAGGUUAGGUAAGGUAAGGCAAGGGAUGAUAAGGUAUGGUUAAGUAAGGUAAGGCAAGGUAAGGUAAGGCAAGGCAAGGUAAGGUUAGGUAAGGCAAGGUAAGGUUAGGUUAGGUAAGGUAAGGCAAGGGAAGGUUAGGUAAGGUAAGGUAAGGCAAGGUAAGGUAAGGUAAGGCAAGGUAAGGUUAGGUAAGGCAAGGUAAGGUUAGGUUAGGUAAGGUAAGACAAGGGAAGGUUAGGUAAGGUAAGGUAAGGCAAGGUAAGGUUAGGUAAGAUAAGGCAAGGGAAGGUUAGGAAAGGCAAGGUAAGGGAAGGUAAGGUUAGGUAAGAUAAGGCAAGGGAAGGUUAGGCAAGGCAAGGUAAGGGAAGGUAAGGUAAGGUAAGGUAUGGAAAGGGAAGGGUUGGGCUAAGUAAGGUAAGGCUAGGUAAGGCUAGGGAAGGUAAGGUAAGGUAAAGCACGGUAAGGUAAGGCAAGGUUAGGUAUGGUAAGGGAAGAUACGGCUAGGUUAGGUAAGGUAAGGUAAGGCAAGUGAAGGUAAGGUAAGGUAAGGCAAGGUUAGGUAUGGUAAGGGAAGAUACGGCUAGGUCAGGUAAGGUAAGGUAAGGCAAGUGAAGGUAAGGUAAGGUAAGGUAAGGCAAGGUUAGGUAUGGUAAGGGAAGAUACGGCUAGGUCAGGUAAGGUAAGGUAAGGCAAGUGAAGGUAAGGUAAGGUAAGGUAAGGCAAGGUUAGGUAUGGUAAGGGAAGAUACGGCUAGGUUAGGUAAGGUAAGGCAAGGCAAGUGAAGGUGGGAUAAGGUAAAGU